CCCGUUGCUGGGGACGUCUAAGGCCCGGUUGGACUGGUACCCCGACGUCGUGCCUCCGUGCCGGCGAAGGGGGAAACCUCCGGUGUCCUGGCUGCCCUGCGACGGUCGUGCAGCAGAGGGGCCCCUGUGGCCCCCUCUCGCGGCGUGCAAAAGGUCGGUGACCCACCCGACCCGUCUUGAAACACGGACCAAGGAGUCUAACAUGUGUGCGAGUCAUUGGGCUCACUAAACCCAGAGGCGCAAUGAAAGUGAAAGGAGGGUGCUCCUCGGAGCGCUCUCCGGGGCCGAUCCCUGACCGAGUGAGACGUGGCCGUGGCCGACCCAUUCCAAAGCGGGGCUAAGGCGGCGCGCGGGGUGAGACCCUUUCCCCCGUUAGCGCCGCUGGCCUCGUGGGCGUCCGGCUCGCUCUCUGGUCCGGUGGGCAACACCGCCUGUACGCAGGGGGGCGCAGGCCCGGGACUUGCCACUCGACGCCGUCGCGCGAAUCUGUUGUUGGCCUCGCCGGCUCUGCUUGGGCUCUCGGUUGGCGUGCCGCGUGUCUUUGGGCGGGUCGUUGCGGGCGGGGCGGGCUCUCGCGGGCUCGUCCUUCCCCUCGGCUCGUCCGGCGCGGUUCCGCUCUCCGAUCCUGCUCUGUCCGGCGUGGCCUAGCGCGCGUGCUGUCGGCAAGUACCAUGAGCAGACAUGUUGGGACCCGAAAGAUGGUGAACUAUGCCUGGCCAGGAUGAAGCCAGAGGAAACUCUGGUGGAGGUCCGCAGCAAUUCUGACGUGCAAAUCGAUUGUCAGAGCUGGGUAUAGGGGCGAAAGACUAAUC
rnacentral:rRNA from 1 species